rnacentral:rRNA from 1 species
UACGGGGGGAGCAAGCGUUGUUCGGAUUUACUGGGCGUAAAGGGCGCGUAGGCGGCGCAACAAGUCACUUGUGAAAUCUCCGGGCUUAACCCGGAGCGGUCAAGUGAUACUGUCGUGCUAGAGUGCGGAAGGGGCUACUGGAAUUCUCGGUGUAGCGGUGAAAUGCGUAGAUAUCAGGAGGAACACCGAUGGCGAAGGCAGGUCUCUGGGCCAUAACUGACGCUGGAGAACGCGAAAGCCGUGGGGAGCGAACAGG